AUAACCCCGGGAAACUGGGGAUAAUACCCCAUAGACUAUGAAUGCUGGAAUGCUUUGUAGUUGAAAGGUCCGCCGCCAUAGGAUGGGUCUGCGGCCGAUUAGGUUGUUGUUGGGGUAACGGCCCAACAAGCCUGUAAUCGGUACGGGUUGUGGGAGCAAGAGCCCGGAGAUGGAUUCUGAGACACGAAUCCAGGCCCUACGGGGCGCAGCAGGCGCGAAAACUUUACAAUGCGGGAAACCGUGAUAAGGGAACUCCGAGUGCCCGUAAAAUCGGGCUGUCCAUCUGUUUAAAUAACAGGUGAAGAAAGGGCCGGGCAAGACCGGUGCCAGCCGCCGCGGUAAUACCGGCGGCUCGAGUGGUGGCCACUAUUACUGGGCUUAAAGCGUUCGUAGCUGGUCUGUUAAGUCUCUGGGGAAAUCUACUGGCUUAACCAAUAGGCGUUUCAGGGAUACUGGCAGACUAGGGACCGGGAGAGGUGAGAGGUACUCCAGGGGUAGGAGUGAAAUCCUGUAAUCCUUGGGGGACCACCUGUGGCGAAGGCGUCUCACCAGAACGGCUCCGACAGUGAGGGACGAAAGCUGGGGGAGCAAACCGGAUUAGAUACCCGGGUAGUCCCAGCCGUAAACGAUGCGCGUUAGGUGUAUCGAUGACCACGAGUCAUCGAGGUGCCGAAGAGAAAUCGUGAAACGUGCCGCCUGGGAAGUACGGUCGCAAGGCUGAAACUUAA
rnacentral:rRNA from 1 species